rnacentral:misc_RNA from 1 species
GAGAAGAACGUAGCGAAAUGCGAUAAGUAGUGUGAAUUGCAGAAUUCAGUGAAUCAUCGAAUCUUUGAACGCACAUUGCGCCUCCUGGUAUUCCGGGAGGCAUGCCUGUUCGAGCGUCAUUAAAAUCACUCAAGCUUAGGUUUACCUAUUGCUUGGUCUUGGAGAUGGAAGCCAAUUCAUUGGAAUCCUCUUCGAAAUCCAAUGGCGAAGACCCUUGCUCUCCCAAGUGUAGUAAUAACUUAUGUCACUGAAGGAAGCGAGAAAUCUUCCGCCGUAACCCCCAUAUUUUCUAUGAUUGACCUCGGAUCAGGUAGGGAUACCCGCUGAACUUAAGCAUAUCAAUAAGCGGAGGA